rnacentral:rRNA from 1 species
CCUAUAAGACUGGGAUAACUUCGGGAAACCGGAGCUAAUACCGGAUAACAUUUGGAACCGCAUGGUUCUAAAGUGAAAGAUGGUUUUGCUAUCACUUAUAGAUGGACCCGCGCCGUAUUAGCUAGUUGGUAAGGUAACGGCUUACCAAGGCGACGAUACGUAGCCGACCUGAGAGGGUGAUCGGCCACACUGGAACUGAGACACGGUCCAGACUCCUACGGGAGGCAGCAGUAGGGAAUCUUCCGCAAUGGGCGAAAGCCUGACGGAGCAACGCCGCGUGAGUGAUGAAGGGUUUCGGCUCGUAAAACUCUGUUAUUAGGGAAGAACAAAUGUGUAAGUAACUAUGCACAUCUUGACGGUACCUAAUCAGAAAGCCACGGCUAACUACGUGCCAGCAGCCGCGGUAAUACGUAGGUGGCAAGCGUUAUCCGGAAUUAUUGGGCGUAAAGCGCGCGUAGGCGGUUUCUUAAGUCUGAUGUGAAAGCCCACGGCUCAACCGUGGAGGGUCAUUGGAAACUGGGAAACUUGAGUGCAGAAGAGGAAAGUGGAAUUCCAUGUGUAGCGGUGAAAUGCGCAGAGAUAUGGAGGAACACCAGUGGCGAAGGCGACUUUCUGGUCUGUAACUGACGCUGAUGUGCGAAAGCGUGGGGAUCAAACAGGAUUAGAUACCCUGGUAGUCCACGCCGUAAACGAUGAGUGCUAAGUGUUAGGGGGUUUCCGCCCCUUAGUGCUGCAGCUAACGCAUUAAGCACUCCGCCUGGGGAGUACGACCGCAAGGUUGAAACUCAA